AAGGCAAUCUUGGUUUUCUUCAAAUUCAACUUUAGCCCAAUUUAAGCAGCAAAAAAUUGAAGCAUCAAAAUUAAACAGAUAUAGGAACAGAAACAUCAAAGAUAAACAUGAAGUCAUGAACAGAAAAGGAACAUGAACAGAGAGCAACAUGUUUUCUGUGAUAGAGAAGAACAGGAACAAGAACAGAACCAUGAACAGAAUCAUGCCCGCAUACAUGAACCGAGGUGGAAGGCAGAGUAUUACCGGCGAGCUGGGCGAGGUGGAGAGCUGGGCAACGACGGUGGAGGUGGGGAGCUGGGCGACGGCGAUGGAGGAGAGGUGCGACGGUGGAGGUGGCGAGCUGGGCGACUACGAUGGAGGAGAGGUGCGACGGCGAUGAGGGGUUGUGGCCUGUCGGAGGGUGAGAGAAA